AUGUGCAAAUGCACACUGCUGGAGCGCCCUUCAGCAACGAGGAGGCCCAAUGCGACACGGCCGCCGCCUGCGUCGGUUCUCCCCAGCACGACACGGCCGCCGCGGGCAUCGGUUCUCCCCAGCACAACCACUCUGAAGACGCCCAGCUUGGCCCAUACAAUUUGGAUUCUUUUGGAGACUGGAAACAACUUUAAAGCUACUUGUCACAAAGUGUCAUUGAACGCCUUGAGCCAAUUGGUGGCAAUUGCAUUGGAGACAUCAUGGAUGGAUAGAGCUCCCCAAAUGGAUAUGGGGAGACGAUUGAUGGAAACACUUAGAGAAGACAAAUUUGCCAAGAAAGCGCCUGCACACACUGAGAGGAGAGGAUGCUAUUACACAACUAUCCCGCUUCGCUUUGGAAUAUACAAUAAGGUCAAUCGGCAAUGGCUAGCAAUCAGGAUUAUUAGCUGUCCAAUCACCCAGAAACUUUGAGCUGAAAAUGGAUGGAUGGAUGCACGGUGUGAUAAGAUCAUGAAGAAAGUGUUUUGAAGAGUAUCCCGAGGUUGAGAACAUUUAUAGUGAAUUACAGGAAACAAAACGGUCUUACUCCAGUUCACAUCCAUG
rnacentral:rRNA from 1 species